CUUGAACUGACCAGUCAGAAUUUGAAAGAUGUCAUUACUAGCUUUAAAAAGAAAUCAUUAAAAAACUCAAGGGGAUAUUUUAUAACAGUCUACAUUGACCAGAUCGCAAGAGCUCAUGAUGCGUCUCAAGGCCUGAAAGCAGCCAAAUAUCUGGAGACCAUACUCAGCAUUGUCAAAGAUGUUCAUGGCUUGGUGAAAACAGAUGACACAUUGCUCCUUGUGGCCUCGACUCAAGGCUCGACGCUUACUGUGGGGUCCGGUGCUUAUAUUGACGAGAGUCUAGACGGUAAGUUCUAGAUAUAUGUAUACAUACAACUUAAAUGAUAACUUAAUAGGGACUUUCGCAAUCAACUCAACAAUGU
rnacentral:sRNA from 1 species